AUUGAACGCUGGCGGCAUGCUUUACACAUGCAAGUCGAACGGUAACAGGCCUUCGGGUGCUGACGAGUGGCGAACGGGUGAGUAAUGCAUCGGAACGUACCCAGAGGUGGGGGAUAACGCAGCGAAAGCUGUGCUAAUACCGCAUGUGAUCUGAGGAUGAAAGCGGGGGACCGAGCAGCAAUGUUUGGCCUCGCGCCUUUGGAGCGGCCGAUGUCGGAUUAGCUAGUUGGUGGGGUAAAGGCCUACCAAGGCGACGAUCCGUAGCUGGUCUGAGAGGACGACAAGCCACACGGGGACUGAGACACGGCCCAGACUCCUACGGGAGGCAGCAGUGGGGAAUUUUGGACAAUGGGCGCAAGCCUGAUCCAGCAAUGCCGCGUGCGGGAAGAAGGCCUUCGGGUUGUAAACCGCUUUUGGCAGGAACGAAACGGUGUCCGCUAAUACCGGGCGCUAAUGACGGUACCUGCAGAAUAAGCACCGGCUAACUACGUG
rnacentral:rRNA from 1 species